rnacentral:rRNA from 1 species
CCUACGGGUGGCAGCAGUGAGGAAUAUUGCUCAAUGGGGGAAACCCUGAAGCAGCAACGCCGCGUGGAGGAUGAAGGUUUUCGGAUUGUAAACUCCUUUUGUUAGAGAAGAUAAUGACGGUAUCUAACGAAUAAGCGCCGGCUAAUUCCGUGCCAGCAGCCGCGGUAAUACGGAAGGCCCGAGCGUUAUCCGGAUUCAUUGGGCUUAAGGGGAGCGUAGGCGGGCGUACAAGUCAGAUGUAAAAUCCCGCGGCUCAACCGCGCCCCGCAGUUGAAACUGGACGGCUUGAGUUCACGACGGGCAGGCGGAAGUCGUGGUGUAGCGGUGAAAUGCAUAGAUAUUACGAGGAACCCCGAUUGCGAAGGCAGCCUGCCGGGGUGCGACUGACGCUGAGGCUCGAAGGUGCGGGUAUCAAACAGGAUUAGAUACCCGGGUAGUC